CCCUUAGACGUUCUGGGCCGCACGCGCGCUACACUGACAGAGCCAGCGAGUUUUUUUCCUUGGCCGGAAGGUCUGGGUAAUCUUGUGAAACUCUGUCGUGCUGGGGAUAGAGCAUUGCAAUUAUUGCUCUUCAACGAGGAAUACCUAGUAAGCGUGAGUCAUCAGCUCGCGUUGAUUACGUCCCUGCCCUUUGUACACACCGCCCGUCGCUACUACCGAUUGAAUGGCUUAGUGAGGUCUCCGAAUUGGCUUUGGGGAGCCGGCGACGGCACCCUAUUGCUGAGAAGCUGAUCAAACUUGGUCAUUUAGAGGAAGUAAAAGUCGUAACA
rnacentral:rRNA from 1 species